CCGCUGUCUAAGGACCAAGCACCACCUGCCUCUUGGAAAAGAGCGUCGAUAAGAAGGGUCCGCGUUCACCCCAUUCUCAAGGCGAUCGCACAUUCGACCAGGUCCCGCGGAGAAGCAGCCUGGCGCUGGGGCGGUCUUCCGAGCAGUUGUCGUGUUGAGCGGAGGGAACAAACAACAGAACGUCGCGAGUCGCGAAUGACGAUUUGAGGGUCUGCGAAGAUACCGGAAUAGAGUCAAUGGAAGUUUCAAAGUCGGCACGACGCCGACUUUGGUUCGACCGCAUACACAAAGUGACAUCGAGGACCUUGGCGUUCACCGCAGCCCUCACGUCAGCUCUCGUUGUCGUCGAAGUCGUCGGGAGGACCGUGAACCGCAAAGCGGAUUCCUCCGAACGUACCGGGUCAGGACCGUCCGUUGGUCCAGCCGACUCCGCGUAGUCCGUGCUCCCGCCUGGCCUCCACGGUGUCGAUCUCCGGAGGGAAACUGCAAUAUCGACAUCGUGAGCCCUCGAAAAUGAUCACGGUCAUUCAGCUGUCAGUGGGCUCCGUGGAUACAUGCCCAGGUCAUGGAGUCAGUUAAGAGCUUGGCUCGUCGAGGGAUACGGAGGUGGAGCUGCUAAAACGAUAGUAUGUAGACCAGUCUUCCAACAGCGAUAACCUCGAGCAGAAGGACCUUGAAGGAGGCUGAAGCAUCAUCCGGAGGGAAGAGAGGACGCGGAAAACCGGAGUUCUCCCCACGUCCGAGCGACUGCGAUGGCGUCUUAGGCGAUUUGAAAGGAGCACGGCCUGAAGGAUCAGGAACUUCCCGCGCUCCAGAAAUAUAUGAGAAACUCGCGGUCUGAAUUCGGACUGAUCGUCAGAAUGCUGGUAGAAUAAAUGAAAGCGCUCUCACA